UGCUGAUGAGGUAAUAGUUCUUCAUUGCUCUGUGUUUCUUGUGUAAAUAUUAUUUCUAAACUUUCAUAACACUUUAAAAGUUAAAGCAUUAAUGUUGUAGGUAUAAGUGAUGUGUUGUUUUAAGUGCUUUUUUUAUGCACAAUUUUGUUAAGUAAGGAUUAGAGCGUCAAAUGUUUGGUCAUAAUUACACAUGGUAAUUACGCAGGUAUCACUCCGCCAGAAAAGUAGAGAUCUGUGUAUGUGUUUCAUGUUUCCAACAAAGGUAUAUGGAUUGGUGUAUUAUUAUUAUUUUUUGUGAUAAAACGUUUUUGUUAAUGUAAUUUAAAUUAUUAUUUUGUAUGAAUGAAUGUUGUUUACUUCCUCUUUUAUCGGACUUUUGCUGAUGAGGUAUCACUCCGCCAGAAAAGUAGAGACCUGUGUAUGUGUAUCAUGUUUCCAACAAAGCUAUGUGGAUUUGUGUAUUAUUAUUUUUGUGAUAAAACGUUUUUGUUAAUGUAAUUUAAAUUAUUAUUUUUGUAUGAAUGAAUGUUGUUUACUUCCUCUUUUAUCGGAUAUUUGCUGAUGAGGUAUCACUCCGCCAGAAAAGUAGAGACCUGUGUAUGUGUAUCAUGUUUCCAACAAAGCUAUGUGGAUUUGUGUAUUAUUAUUUUUUGUGAUAAAACGUUUUUGUUAAUGUAAUUUAAAUUAUUAUUUUUUUGUAUGAAUGAAUGUUGUUUACUUCCUCUUUUAGCGGACUUUUGCUGAUGAGGUAUCACUCCGCCAGAAAAGUAGAGACCUGUGUAUGUGUUUCAUGUUUCCAACAAAGGUAUGUGGAUUUGUGUAUUAUUAUUUUCUGUGAUAAAACGUUUUUGUUAAUGUAAUUUAAAUUAUUUUUUUGUAUGAAUGAAUGUUGUUUACUUCCUCUUUUAUCGGACUUUUGCUGAUGAGGUAUCACUCCGCCAGAAAAGUAGAGACCUGUGUAUGUGUUUCAUGUUUCCAACAAAGGUAUGUGGAUUUGUGUAUUAUUAUUUUUUGUGAUAAAACGUUUUUGUUAAUGUAAUUUAAAUUAUUAUUUUUUGUAUGAAUGAAUGUUGUUUACUUCCUCUUUUAUCUGACUUUUGCUGAUGAGGUAUCACUCCGCCAGAAAAGUAGAGACCUGUGUAUGUGUUUCAUGUUUCCAACAAAGGGUCGCUGGAGCCUAUCUCAGCUGCAUUCGGGCGGAAGGCGGUGUACACCCUGGACAAGUCGCCACCUUAUCAGAGGGCCAACACAAAUAGACAACAUUCACACUCACAUUCACAAACUAGGGCAGAUGUAAUAUUUUAUCGAAAUAUAAAACAUGAAUGUACGGAAUUUACGGUAAAGCAUGAUUCUAGAAUACAGCAAAAUUAUUGUUUGAAAUUGUAGCUUCUGUUGUCCACCACGAUAAUUAUGAAUGGAAUUAGAUUGGAACUUGGGAGACAUUCUCGAUUCAAUUCAGGUUUCUAUGCUGCAAAUUCCUAUUAUCCUUGAGUGAAAUGGGCUGAUACCAGCACCGAUACCAAUCCCAUGUAUUAACUGUACAUUUUUCAAUGUAUCCAUCCAUCUCUCAUUCCAUUUUCUACCCCUUGUCCCUUUUGGGGUCGCUGUAGCCUAUCUCAGCUGCAUUCGGGCGGUAGGUAGGGUACACCCUGGACAAGUCGCCACCUCAUCGCAGGGCCAACACAGAUGUUGAGUGAUAUUGGCAGUUUAUUAUCAGAACUAUAUUUAAACCAGGUCCUAAUUCUCCUCCUCAGUGUGUAAUAUGUAAUAUUUUUUCCCUUGGCCUCAAUCCUGUUCUGUCUCCCUGUAUUGUUUGUCUGAUCUUGAAUGGGAUUGUGCUGAAAAUGAGAAUUUCCCCUCGGGAAUUAAUAUAGUAUUUCUGAUUCUGAUGUUCAGCCUUGUCCUUCAGUGAUAAUGUUACUUGAUAAUGGAGGUGAUUACCACUAUCUUAGGAGGAGUGGUCGAUUCGUACGGCUGUUUUGCAAGUUGAAAGCAAAAAUGCAGUUCUAAAUGUCUCCACUAGAUGUCGCAAUAGCAUUUCUUUGUAUCCUUGUCGAUGACGCUAAAUACGUAAAACAAAACAAAAACACAUUAGUGCAGCAAUUGAGGAAAAUGAGCAAACCACAUAAAUAACAUCCUGUAAUUUGAUUUUGAUAUUAUUUUUUUAAUCUUGACAGAUCAGGGGUGUCAAACUCAAAUACAGGGUGGGCCCAAAUUUAACAAAUUAACUUUUUAAUAGGACCUAAACAAGUUUUGCAAUGAAUAUUGAACAAGCAAAGCUUAUGUUACUUUAUAGUGACAUGCAAAAUCGAGUUUCAAAUAAUAAUAAUAAUUAAAAAAUAUCAAUGAUAGAUGGAUAGAUAGUACUUUAUUGAUUCCUUCAGGAGAGUUCCUUCAGGAAAAUUAAAAUUCCAGCAGCAGUGUAGAGUUGAGAUCAAUUUAAAAAAAAAAAAAAGUAAAUAAUGGGGGUUUAAAAGGAAACAAAAUAGAGAAAUAUUACAAAAAGAAUAAAAACAAUGGGAAUAACAAUAUAACAGCAAAAUAAGAAUAUAACAAGACAAAGUAGGCAGUAGUGACCAUGUUAUGAAAACGUAUUGCACUGUUAAUGUUUUGCAUCCCCUGUCAUCCUAAUACACCCCACCCCCCCGUCCCAGAGAGGAGUUGUACAGUCUAAUGGCGUGUGGGACAAAGGAGUUUUUGAGUCUAUUAGUCCUGCACUUGGGAUGAAGCAGUCUAGCACUGAACAGCCUCCUCUGGCUACUGAUAACACUAUGCAGAGGGUGACUGGCAUCAUCCAGGAUGCUCACUAGUUUGUCAACAGUCCUCUUCUCUGCCACUGUCACCAGUGAGUCCAGUUUCAUUCCGAUUGUAGAACCGGCCCGCCUGAUCAGUUUCUCAAGUCUGGAGCUGUCCUUCUUAGAUGUACUGCCCCCCCAGCACACUACCAUGUAGAACAGAACACUGGCAACCACAGACUGGUAGUACAUCCACAGGAGUUUUCUACAAAUGUUGAAGGAGUGCAGUCUCCUGAGGAAGUACAGCCUGCUCUGUCCUUUCUUGUACUGGUGGUCCGUGUUAAUGGCAUAUCAAAUAAAAUUUGAAUAAAAAUGUAAUGGCUCUUUUCUAUUUGCAGCCCUCUGAGGUAGGUAUCAAAAUAAACUUUUUCCAAAGGCUAAUAAUACAUUUGAAAAUAAAAUAAUAAUGAAUGAAUCAAACAUUCAAGUAGCCAGAGAAAGGGCAAGAAUAAAAACAUUGAUUAUUGCUCAGUUUGCUAAACUGAUUUGCUUUAACACUGAAUAUAAAACAAGCAACGCAUAUAUAACUUAACUGUGCAAAAUCAACUUUCCAAAAACAAACAAAAGAACAUCAAUGUCAUAUUAAAUAAAAUGAAAAUAAAAGAAAUGGUGGUAGCGGCGGGGGGGGCUAUAGUGUAGCGUCCCAGAAGAGUUAGUGCUGCAAGGGGUUCAGGGUAUUUGUUCUGUUGUGUUUAUGUUGCGAAUGUUCUCCCGAAAUGUGUUUGUCAUUCUUGUUUGGUGUGGGCUCACAAUGUGGCACAUAUUUGUAACAGUAUUAAAGUUGUUUACACGGCCACCUUCAGUAUGGGUGUUGACCAAGUAUGACUUGCAUUCAUUGCGGUGCGUAAAAGCCGCAUAUAUUAUGUGACUGGGCUGGCACGCUGUUUGUAGGGAGGAAAAAAGGACAUGACGACAGGCUGUAGAGUACGAUAAAGGCAGGGUCCUCAAUAUUGUUGUCCGGGUGGAAAUCGGGAGAAACUGGGGAGAAUGGUUGUCCCCGGGAGAUUUUCGAGAGGGGCACUGAAAUUCGGGAGUCUUCUGGGAAAAUCGGCAGUGUUGACAAGUAAGAGUAUUAGCGGUGAAUGCGGUGUUACAGCGGCACCACUGCUGUAUAAUACAGGAGGGCCAGCUCUAAUGUUAAUUUGAUAUUGCCUCAGGGGCCAAAUUAUAUUAAACGGCGGGCCAAAUUUGGCCCGCGGGCCAGAGUUUGACACCCAUGUGAUAGAUUGAAAAUUAACACCAACGAGUUGACUGAUGAACAUUAUCACAUCAUUUAUUCAGAAGGACAGUAAAUGUAAAAAAAAAGAACAACAUUAUAAUUUGUACAUUAUUAGAUUGUGCUUGUUUUAUUUUUAACAAACAAAAAAAUACAAUUUGAAGUUGUCUUUAUUUUUAAGUAAUUGUGUCGUGUUUUUGCCAGUCCGGUAGAUUAAAAAUGAGUUUGACACCCCUGAUAUAAAUGUUCUAGAAUUGUGUUUGUCUUUAUAGGUGCUCUGUGAUCGACUGGGAUAGUCUCCUGCCUAUUACGAUGACGGAUGUGUUUACCUACACAAGCAGCGUGUGAGUUUACAAAUUCCCCAGCCAGAUACAUUUAGACUGCAGUUUCGCACACAGUUGUCAAUAUCCUCGUUUUAUUUUGUCCCGUUGGUCCAGGAGCGUGCGUUGAAGACCAACUUUGGCAUCUUCGAAAUCUUCUUUGAGCUUUAAAGCUUGCUGGAAGUCCCGAAUGGCGUUGUCAAAGAAACCUGUAAGACAUUUAAAUGAAAGAUGAUGAGUUGUUACACUUAGCAGACACUAAGUCUACAUAGGAUGUUGAUUAGUACACUUUUGCAACCUUCUUGGAGCCAAAGCACAUUUUUUGCGUUGAAUAAAUCCGGAGGCACACCAUCAACAGACAUCAUUAAAAAACUAAACUGAGUUGACAGUAAAAAGUCGUUGCUGCAAUUGUUGGAUUUGACUUUAAAGCAUAACCAAGCAUGCAUCACUAUAGCUCUUGUCUCAAAGUAGGUGACUUAUUUUGAGUUUGUUGCUGUUUUCCUGUGUGUAGUGAUUUAGUUCUUGUCUUGCGCUCCUGUUUUGGUGGCUUUUUCUCUUUUUUUGGUAUUUUCUUGUAGCAGUUUCAUGUCUUCCUUUGAGCAAUAUUCCCCGCAUCUACUUUGUUUUAGCAGUCAAGAAUAUUUCAGUUGUUUUUAUCCUUCUUUUGUGGGGACAUUGUUGAUUGUCAUGUCCUGUUCGGAUGUACUUUGUGGACACCGUCUUUGCUCCACAGUAAGUCUUUGCUGUCGUCCAGCAUUCUGUUUUUGUUUACUUUGUUGCCAGUUCAGUUUUAGUCUCGUUUUGCAUAGCUUUCCUUAAGCUUUGAUGCCUUUUCUUAGGGACUCACCUUUUGUUUAUUUUUGGUUUAAGCAUUAGAUACCUUUUUACCUGCACCCUGCCUCCCGCUGUUUCCGACAUCUAAAAAGCAAUUAGCUACCGGCUGCCACCUACUGAUAUGGAAGAGUAUUACAAGGUUACUCUGCCGAGCUUUAGACAGCACCGACACUCAACAACAACACAUCAUUUGCAGACUAUAAUUACUGGUUUGCAAAAAAUAUUAUUAACCCAAAUAGGUAGACUGCUCAUACGUCCUCUUUUCCCCGGACAUGUCCUCUUUUGCAGGGCUGUCCGGGUGGAGUUUAUUAAAUGCCUCAAAUGUCUGGCAUUUUGAGUUAGGGUUGCGUUCAGGGUUAAGAAGGGGUUAAAUACAAAAUAAAUUGUGAAGGUGUGCGUAUGCAGCAGCAUUCAUGAGGGUGGGGCAGAGACAGAGAAAGCGAGAGAGUUGUGAUAAACGCGCCGUCAGGCUCUGCUUUUUAAUUGAUAGAUCUAUCAGAUUUAAUUUUUUAUUAUCUAUAGCAGGGGUGCCAUUUGAGGCCCACAGCUAAUGUUUUAAAGGCCCAAGGCACAUUCUAAAAAUACUAUUAAAAUAAACAAAAACAUAACAAAAGUGAAAUAAAAAAGCCUAAAGGUAAAAUGUAAUAUAUAAAAAGUUGCAAUGUUGACUAAUAAAACAAAGCUGUUUUUUUCUUUCAAACGGUCAUUGCUCAAAACAUAAUAUUGAAUCAAAAUCAAUGUUAUUAUGAAUUAUUGACCCAUCCAAGGUUCCCAUUACAUCACAUCAAAUAUUCCACGAAGAAAAAUAUUUUUGGUGGAAGAUUUUGCACAUUUUGUGUUUGCCAUUAAAAACAUAGUUUUGUUUGACAAAAAUGGGCAGAAAACAAACAAACACAAAAACAACAUAAAAAAACAAACUAAAACAUUUUGAAAUGAGGGAUAGAUCUGAAGUUGAUGUAAACUCCGGAGAUUUAAGCGUUAGAUAUAAAAUAUAUUUUUGCCCUGGCACGCCAUUAUCAUUUCAUGACCCAAGCAAAACACUUUUUACACUUUUAUACUGAAAUAAAAACACCUACAAUUUAUUAAAUAAAUACAUAAAAAAACUACCAGCAGCAGUAAAGUUUAGAUCCAUGAAGGAAAGAAUAAAAGUGAAUGAAUGUUUAUAACUGAAUACAUUUACAUCCAUCCAUUUUUCUACCGUUGUCCCUUUUGGGUCGCGGGUGGGUCGCUGUAGCCUAUCUCAGCUGCAUUCGGGCGGAAGGCGGGGAACACCCAGGACAAGUCACCACCUCAUCACAGGGCCAACACAGAUAGACAGACAACAUUCACACACUUGGGCCCAUUUAGUCCCCAGGUGCAUGUUUUUGGGGGUGGGAAGAAGCCGGGGUACCCGGAGGGAACCCACGCAGUCACGGGGAGAACAUGCAAACUCCACACAGAAAGAUCCCGAGCCUGGGAUUGAACCCAGGACUACUCAGGACCUUCGUAUUGUGAGGCAGAUGCACUAACCCCUCUUCCACCGUGGUGCCCAUACGUUCACAUAUGUAUCCAAAUUUGUUUUCUUUUUUUAUAUGUAUUUUUUAAUGAUUUAAGUAACGUUUAUGACAACCUUUUUUUCCAAAAACACAAUAUAGAAUGUGAGAUAUAACAAGAUAAUGCAUACAUUUAUCAUUUGUUUUCAAAACGCUUACAAAAAAGUGGGACCCCAAAUUUUGGGGGGGGGGGGGGAAUUCCUAGCGCAAACACUGCUGUCAACAGAGGAGAAAAAUGGUUUUAAAGGCCUAAAGCCACUACUAGCGACCACGCAGUCUGAUAGUUUAUAUAUUAAUGAUGAAAUAUUAACAUUGCAACACAUGCCAAUAUGGCCGGUUUAGUUUACUAAAUUACAAUUUUAAAUUUCCCGCCAAGUAUCCUGUUGAAAACGUCGCAGAAUGAUGACGCGUGCACGUGACCUCACUGGUGGUAGCGGACAUGUUCUUCCAGCACCGCUCACAGCUAAAAGUAGUCUGUUUUUAUCGCAUAAUUACACAGUAUUCUGGACUUCUGUGUUGCUGAAUCUUUUGCAAUUCGUUCAAUUAAUAAUGGAGACUACAAAGAAGAAAGAUGUUGGUGGAAAGCGGUGUAUUGCAGCCGACUGUACCAACACAAACACAGCCGGUGUUUCUUUGUUUGUUGUGAAGCUUUAAUAUGGAACAGAGCGGUCAGGCGAACAUGGUUCUCUACCACAUGUCAACCGGCAGGUUUCGGUGAGAAAAUUGUGGUAUUAAGUCGGCUCUUACCGUAGACAUGAGAAGAGCUCGUGUCGUUCCUCCUGCACCUGUCAAAGAGGCAGCUGCGACUUUCUUGGGUCCUCCGUGGCUUCCCUCAGAGACACUGGUGGCCACCACACUCCGACUUUUAGAUAUGACUAUAAUCUCACUAAAACACUUGUAACACAAUAAGUAGAUAAGGAAUUUUCCAGAAAUAUCCUAGUAAAUGUGUCUAAUAACAUCUGAAUUGCUCCCACUGCCCUCGUCUUUUUUUUCCCUUCUAGUCCUUCACUCUCACUAUCCUCAUCCACAAAUGUUUCAUCCUCGCUCAAACUAAUGGGGAAAUUGUCGCUUUCUUGGUCCGAAUCGCUCUUGCUGCUGGUGGCCAUGAUUGUAAACAAUGUGAGGAAGUGAAGGCCCUACAACCCGUGACGUCAUGCGCACAUUGUCUGCUACUUCCGGUACAGGCAAGGCUUUUUUAUUAGCGACCAAAAGUUGAGAACUUUAUCGUGGAUGUUCUCUACUAAAUCCUUGCAGCAAAAAUAUGGCAAUAUCGUGAAAUUAUCAAGUAUGACACAUAGAAUGGACCUGCUAUCCCCGUUUAAAUAAGAAAAUCUCAUUUCAGUAGGCCUUUAAAUAAAUAUAUUAUUUAUAAAGCAAGUUUGAGUAUCAUUGGCAAAUGUUCACCUAAUCCCGGCCUUGGCACGCAUAUAUGUGUCCUCUUUUUUGGAAUUUUAGAAUAUGGUCAGUCUACAAUAGUGUGAAAUUAGACUCCAGCGACCCCGAAUGGUACAAGCUGUAAAAAAUGGAUGGAUGGAUAGAUAAUCUUGAAAAACACAAAGGUCAACUUUUUAUUUACCAAGAAUUUCUCAACCAUUUUAAGAUACCUGUGACUCCCAAACAAUUUGCCAUUGUAUUUGAUGCCAUUCCAACAGGUGUUAUUAUGUUGUACAGGGCUUACACACCUCAUCUUUCUGCUGUAAAAAUUGUGAAUGAUCCACUUGACACUCCUGUGGGGAAACUUUGCUUUGAUCAGAAAAAUAACAGUAAAAUCCGCAGCUUAUUCCAAAAUGAUUGUGUGUCUGUCUCCUAUGUAAUUGCCCUCUGGAAUAAUGUUGUAAAUGACAUCUGUUGGGUCAAAACAUGGUCCCUUCCUAACAGGUAUUUACUUACCAACAAAGUCAAAAGGAUAUCCUUUAAAAUCAUUCAUGGUUAUUACCCUGUAAAGACUGUAAUGGUUAGAUACAAGACGGACAUUGAUGUUACCUGCACCUGCAAGUAACAUGCAUCCAGAGACUGUUAACCACUUGUUUUGGACUUGUGAAAACACUCCAUCACUAUGGCAGGGCAUCUGUCGCUUCAUCCUGGACAAUAUUCAUGACAAAUUUGUGCUUUUCUUUAAAUAUGUGAUUUUUGGUUUUACACUGUAUGAACAACAAUUUAAAAAGGAAUUCCACCUUUGCAACCUCAUACUUUAAAACGCUCUCUACCUCUAACAACAAAAAAGCUGUGAAAACGAUGAUGCUGUGUUCCAAAUUUAACUUAAAACAUUUGUACGCACGUACGACACUUAAGACCUACAGUACAUCUGGAUGUGGAAUGAAACUAUGGAAUGGAUUAAGCAAAGCAAUCAAACAAUGUACUAAUAUGAUCCACUUCAAGAAACUCUUCAAAUUUAUUGUUUACAAAGUGCAAAAAAGAAGAAUCAUGAUAAACAUUCUGAAUUUAUACACCCAUUCAUUCUUUUAUUCUCAAAAUAAUCCUACUUAUCUCAUCGUAUGGAAUAAAACUUCCAAAAAUUAUUUAUUUUUAUUUAAUUACUUAUGGAGUAUAUUGUGAACACAUUGAGAACAGGAAGUGAACAAUAGUUUUAGCAACUGUUAUGUAAAAGAAAAGGGGUAGGAUUAAAUAAGCUGUGCUUCUUCCUACUCCUUUUCGAACAUGUUGAAAAGAGAAACUGGAAAUUGUGAUGUAUCAUGUUGUAUGCUUGCAUGUUCCAAAUAAACUCAUACUCAAAUUUAAGUUAUUUAAUGAAUCUGAAUGAGCCUGUGGCUUUGCACCUGGAUUAUUAUAUAUAUAUAUUUUUUUUGUAUUCUAUUUUGUUACAUUGGUUGGCGGACGAGAGGGGAGUCGGCUCCCUUGGUUGCUUUGUUGGGUCUGCUCCUGUCUCUGGCCAUGCUCCCUCCACCCCAGCGGACGAUGGCAUGGAACACCGCGGAGGCCACAACAGUGUAUAUGUUUAUUUUACUUUUUAUUCAUAGCUGUAUGUAGAAGUAGCUGGUUGCAUCAGCUCUGCUCUUUAAUGUUCUAUAAUGUUUGAUGUUGUAAGAGGGAUGUCUACUAUGGCUAUGAGUUGUGUUUUUCCCCUCUCCAGGGGCCCAGACUUAGACCGUUUUUUAUUUUAUUUUAAUCUUUUUUUUUUUUUCUCCGAUUCCCCCCCACUUGUUUACCUGUAUCUCACCUUUUUUGUAAGGGGCGCCGGAAGUUGGCAGACGCGACCUGUUCUGUCUCCCUGUAAUGUUUGUCUGGUCUUGAAUGGGAUUGUGCAGAACAUUUUAAUUUCCCCUCGGGAUUAAUAAAGUAUGUCUGAUUCUGAUUGAAUUUACAACCUCCAUGCGCUGUUUUGUGCCGUUUUUAUG